AGAGUUUGAUCAUGGCUCAGAUUGAACGCUGGCGGCAGGCCUAACACAUGCAAGUCGAACGGUAACAGAAAGCAGCUUGCUGCUUUGCUGACGAGUGGCGGACGGGUGAGUAAUGUCUGGGAAACUGCCUGAUGGAGGGGGAUAACUACUGGAAACGGUAGCUAAUACCGCAUAACGUCGCAAGACCAAAGAGGGGGACCUUCGGGCCUCUUGCCAUCGGAUGUGCCCAGAUGGGAUUAGCUUGUUGGUGGGGUAACGGCUCACCAAGGCGACGAUCCCUAGCUGGUCUGAGAGGAUGACCAGCCACACUGGAACUGAGACACGGUCCAGACUCCUACGGGAGGCAGCAGUGGGGAAUAUUGCACAAUGGGCGCAAGCCUGAUGCAGCCAUGCCGCGUGUAUGAAGAAGGCCUUCGGGUUGUAAAGUACUUUCAGCGGGGAGGAAGGGAGUAAAGUUAAUACCUUUGCUCAUUGACGUUACCCGCAGAAGAAGCACCGGCUAACUCCGUGCCAGCAGCCGCGGUAAUACGGAGGGUGCAAGCGUUAAUCGGAAUUACUGGGCGUAAAGCGCACGCAGGCGGUUUGUUAAGUCAGAUGUGAAAUCCCCGGGCUCAACCUGGGAACUGCAUCUGAUACUGGCAAGCUUGAGUCUCGUAGAGGGGGGUAGAAUUCCAGGUGUAGCGGUGAAAUGCGUAGAGAUCUGGAGGAAUACCGGUGGCGAAGGCGGCCCCCUGGACGAAGACUGACGCUCAGGUGCGAAAGCGUGGGGAGCAAACAGGAUUAGAUACCCUGGUAGUCCACGCCGUAAACGAUGUCGACUUGGAGGUUGUGCCCUUGAGGCGUGGCUUCCGGAGCUAACGCGUUAAGUCGACCGCCUGGGGAGUACGGCCGCAAGGUUAAAACUCAAAUGAAUUGACGGGGGCCCGCACAAGCGGUGGAGCAUGUGGUUUAAUUCGAUGCAACGCGAAGAACCUUACCUGGUCUUGACAUCCACAGAACUUUCCAGAGAUGGAUUGGUGCCUUCGGGAACUGUGAGACAGGUGCUGCAUGGCUGUCGUCAGCUCGUGUUGUGAAAUGUUGGGUUAAGUCCCGCAACGAGCGCAACCCUUAUCCUUUGUUGCCAGCGGUCCGGCCGGGAACUCAAAGGAGACUGCCAGUGAUAAACUGGAGGAAGGUGGGGAUGACGUCAAGUCAUCAUGGCCCUUACGACCAGGGCUACACACGUGCUACAAUGGCGCAUACAAAGAGAAGCGACCUCGCGAGAGCAAGCGGACCUCAUAAAGUGCGUCGUAGUCCGGAUUGGAGUCUGCAACUCGACUCCAUGAAGUCGGAAUCGCUAGUAAUCGUGGAUCAGAAUGCCACGGUGAAUACGUUCCCGGGCCUUGUACACACCGCCCGUCACACCAUGGGAGUGGGUUGCAAAAGAAGUAGGUAGCUUAACCUUCGGGAGGGAGCUUACCACUUUGUGAUUCAUGACUGGGGUGAAGUCGUAACAAGGUAACCGUAGGGGAACCUGCGGUUGGAUCACCU
rnacentral:rRNA from 1 species